GAAGGCGUGCAAGCGUUACUCGGAAUUACUGGGCGUAAAGCGUGCGUAGGUGGUUCGUUAAGUCUGAUGUGAAAGCCCUGGGCUCAACCUGGGAAUGGCAUUGGAUACUGGCGACCUAGAGUGCGGUAGAGGGGUGUGGAAUUCCCGGUGUAGCAGUGAAAUGCGUAGAUAUCGGGAGGAACAUCUGUGGCGAAGGCGACACCCUGGACCAGCACUGACACUGAGGCACGAAAGCGUGGGGAGCAAACAGGAUUAGAUACCCUGGUAGUCCACGCCCUAAACGAUGCGAACUGGAAGUUGGGGGCAACUUGGCCCUCAGUUUCGAAGCUAACGCGUUAAGUUCGCCGCCUGGGAAGUACGGUCGCAAGACUG
rnacentral:rRNA from 1 species